rnacentral:lncRNA from 1 species
UUUUGUUACAAAUUUGAAUUGCCUAUAUCUUUACCAUUUUUCUUUUGGAAUUCUGGAGUUUUUUCCUAUCUUUCAUAAUUAUUUAUAUAUUAAGGAUAUACUAAGCCCUUUGUUGGAUAUGUUGCAAAUAUUUAUUGCCAAUUCAUCAGGUGUCUUUCACUUUGCUAAUGGUGCUUUAUUCCCUGAACUGUGAGCAUGUCUGGCGUGUGAGAAACAGUUCUUUUCUAAUUCAGUUCUUCUUGGGUGCCUGGAUGUCUCAGGCAGCUAAGCCUCUGCCUUCACUCAGGACAUGAUCCCAAGGUCCUGGGAUGAGUCCAGCACUGGGCUGUCUGCUCAGUGGAGAGUCUGUUUCUUCCUCUCCUCUGCCCCACCCCCUGCUCGUGAGCUUGCGCUCUCUCUCUCUCUCUCUCUCUAAUAAAUAGAAUCUUUUAAAAAAUAAUUCAGUUCUUGUCUACAAGGAGCUCACAGUUUCAUAAAUAACUUAAAAUAUAGGGACGCCUGGGUGGCUCAGCGGUUGAGCAUCUGCCUUUGGCUCAGGUCAUGAUCCCAGGGUGCCGGGAUCGAGUCCCACAUUGGGCUCCCUGCAUGGAGCCUGCUUCUCCCUCUGCCUGUGUCUCUGCCUUCUCUCUGUGUCUCAUGAAUAAAUAAAUAAAAUCUAAAAAAAAAAAGUUAAAAUAUAGACAAGUACAAGGUAGUAAUUGAUAAGUGUCAAAAAAAAAAAAGAUAAAGGGAGUGAACUGCAAUAUACAGGAGAUUUGUGAUCAGAACUAGGUUUGUAUCCCACCUUCCCCUGACCUAAGAACUCAGUGUCUUCAUCUAUAAAAUUAGAAAAAAUAGUAUCACCCUUCAUAUCAAGAGUAUUAAACAGAAUAAUAUGUAUGUAAGUACCUACACUCACAUAUUGUCAGGGGUAUAUAAGAAGUUCAAAAUAUAUUAUUUAAAUGAAUUAUCUACAGACAACAAUUGCUAUUCAUAUCAGAGAAGGGAGAGAUCACAAAAGGUAUACCAUUAAUUAUAUAUCUGUAUAACUGGGCCAUAUUUGUAUGAAAUAUAGUAUGGAAUAUUUUCUUCCUCUGACUAUAAUUAAGGCAAAUUGAAUAUGCUUAAACUUUUGUUACAAAUCGCUUUACCCAUUUAUGCAUUGCUUGGUGGAGCUGUCUAUUUUAUCUGCAUGACAGAACAAAAUAAACUAAGUAAGUCCUUUAUAUUGAAAGGUUUAAAAGAUCUAUUUCCCAGUAAGGCAAUUUGGCUUAUACUUCCCUAACAGGAAACAUUUCCCUCUAUUAAAACAUCAUGGUGCAUACAUGUAUAUAAAUACACACAUACUCAUGAAAUAUGUAUGUAUAUACACAUUUUAACAUAUGUUUGAGGAUAGAAAGACACCUAGAUAUCACAAAGCGCAAUUAAUUAUGUAGACUAAUCAUCAUUUACUUAACUACUACUAGAAGAUGUGAUUGGGAAAAAACAUGAAAUCAUGCAAUAUAACUUAAGAAUUAUAUUCUUGUACUGCGAAAGCUUGACAAAUCCCAAAAUGUGUUUUCAAUGUACAAUAGUCAACUUUAUCAUCACAUAUGGUAUUAAAAUAAAAAUACGGAGUGCCUCUAUUAUUUGAGGAAUGGUUUCAAAUUUAUCAAUGUCAGAGUCGAAAAUAUUUAGGUUACAUUCAGAUGUAUGGUUUAAGAUACAUUUAUGUUUAGACAGAAAAAUGGUAUACUUUCCAUAAUUCAUUAUAUAUUUUAGUCUCACACAAGGUCAGAGAUAAAGUACACAUCUUGGACCACCAAUUUCAAUUAUUAAGAGAAAAUCAAAUGCAAAAAUGCGAAAACAAAAACAUAAAACAACUUUUUUUAUUUUUUUAUAUUUUUAAAACAACUUUUAAUAAAAACGCAAUGAAUUAAAUAAUUUAAGCACUUGCCACCUUUUCCUUAUAUGGUAUUUUUCUUAUCCUCUAAAUAUUUUCAUGAUCCAAUUAGUAUUUAUUAAUUUUAAAAUAUAAGCUAGGAACCAUGUUAAAUUUGGGAAUAUAAAAAUGAGGAACAAUCAACAGCACCUACUCUCAAGACACUCACAACAAAGCCCUAAGGACACUGCCCACUCCUGAAGAGAAGGCAAGCAAACAACCCCCGGAGUAGACAGCGCAUCUGCGGUUUGCCAAAGGUGCACACAGAGAGAUUGUUCAUUCUCCCUGCAUCUGUGAGAGGUGGAGUUCACAGAAAGGACUCUCUGGGGAUAAACAAGUCCAUGGUUGCCAUUACCUUCCCCCUCUCCUCAGCACAGGAGCAGAAACACCUGCUGAGGGCAGCUUACCUGAACGCUAGCCAGUGUUCCUCCAAAUCUCAUGCCUCUGUGCUCGGGUGUGACUGGCCCUCUCAGCCAAACCUGCAUCCAGCCCAAUGCAGUGAGAGCCUCCCCAAGAAGACCAGCACACGUCCUCACCACACCAGGCCUCUAAAGUUUGGAAUUUUAAAAGUCAGCAGGCCUGGCUGGGAUACAGCCCAAAGUGCACUGCACUGCUUCAGGUAGGCAAACAACCCAGAGGCAAGUGGCUUAAAAACAGAGAACAGAAAAGUGCCUGGGAUGCAAAAGGGGAAACUACUCACUCUUCUGGAAGGGCUACUCUGAGAGCAGCAAGCACUGAGUCCCCUCUCCAGGGACAAAGGUCCUGGCUGGUGCCAUUUCCCUCCUCUGCCUCUCAGCUCAGCAUAAACCAACUUCAGUAAACAGCACAGCACCAACAAUAGUUGCCUAACCUGCUUACAUCAAGUUCUGCCCCCCUGCUGACACUGCUUUCUUGGACAAGUAUGCCUAAGGACCAGUGCAGCAGGCCCCUUCCCCAGAAGACCAGCACAAACCCCCACAAGUACCACAUCUACCAGUCACAGAGUCCUGCAAGGCUUCAGUUCCAGAAGUGGCAUCAGGUUUCAUUUAACAAGCAGACCAGAGCAUACCUAGUUAAAACUUGCCACAGUCUGGCCAAGGUCCCAACACUGCCCACUGCAUGCAAGCAGAACCUUUGCAGAUGACUGACCUGAGGGACAGAGCAGCCAAAACACAGCGGCAGAGUACAUGCAGCACACACCAGAGACACUCCCCAAAUAACCAGGCCUUCAACCCUAUAUGACCUCUUCUUCAUAAAGCCAUUAUUCUCAGGACCAGAAACCGUAACAGGCUUUUCUAACACACAGAAGACAGAGACCUAGACAAAAUGCCAAGAUGGAGGAAUUCUUUCCAAAAGAAGGAACAAGAAAAGGGCACAGCCAAACAUCUAAUUGAAACUGAUAUAAGUAAUAUUCCUGACAAAGAAUUUAAAGCAACAUUACUAAGGAUACUGGCUGGGCUUGAGAAAAACAUGGAAGACAUCAGAGAGACCCUUACUGCAGAGACAAAAGAGUUAAAAAACAAACAAAUGAAAAAUGAAAAAAUUGAGAUUCAAAGCAGACUGGAUAUAAUGAACACAAGGAUGGAAGAAGCAGAGGAAUCAGUAAGUGAGCAGAAGACAGAAUAAUGGAAAAUAAUGAGGCUGAACAAAAGAGAGAAAGAAUGAUCGAUCACAGAGUAGACUUAUUGAACUUGGCAACUCCAUCAAACAUAGUAACAUUAAUAUAAUAGGAGUCCCCAAAGAAGAAAGAAGAGGAAAAAAGAGAGGCAGAAGGUUUAUUGGAAGAAACAAUAGUUGAAAGCUUCCCUAAUCCAGAGAAGGAAAUAGACAUUUAAAUCCAGGAGGCACAGAGAACUCCCAUCAAAAUCAACAAAAGCAGGCCAAAACCAAGAUAUACCGUGGUUAAAUUUGCAAAAUACAGUAAUUAAGAAAAAAAAUCCUAAAACCAGCAAAACAAAAGAAAUCCCUAACUUACAAGGGAAGACCCAUAAGGCUAGCUGCAGAUCUCUCUACAUAAAUCUGGCAAGCCAAAAUGGAGUGCAUGAUACAUUCAAUGUGUGGAAUGGAAAAAAUCUACAGCCAAGAAUACUCUAUCCAGAAAGACUAUCAUUGAGAAUAGAAGGAGAGGUAAAGAGUUUCCCAGACAAAAACUAAAGGAGCUCAUCACCACUACACCAGCCCUGUAAGAAAUAUUAAAGGGAACUCUGUGAGUGGGAAGGAAAGACCAAAAGUGACAAAGACUAGAAAGGAAUAGAGAAAAUCUCCAGAAAUAACAAAAUGAUUAAUAAAAUGGCACAAAAUACAUAUCUACGGAUAAUUACUUUGAAUGUAAAUAGACUAAACUCUCCAAUCAAAAGACAUAGGAUGUCCGAAUGGAUAAAAAACAAGACUCAUCUAUAUGCUGCCUACAAAAGACUCAUUUUAGGCCUAAAGACACCUCUAGAUUUAAAGUGAGGGGAUGGAGAAAUAUCUAUCAUGCAAAUAGAAGUCAAAAGAAAGCUGGAAUAGCAAUACUUAUAUCAAACAAAUUAGAUUUUAAAUCAAAGUCAGUAACAAAAGAUGAAGGGGACUAUCCAACAAGAGGAUAUAAUCAAAGUAAAUAUUUAUGCCCCCAACAUGGGAGUACCCAAAUACAUAAAACAAUUAAUAACAAACAUAAAGGAACUCAUUGAAUAAUAAUAUAAUAAUAGUAGGUGACUUUAACACUCCAUUUAAACACCACUGGACAGAUCAUCUAAGCAGAAAAUGAACAAAGAAACAAGGGCUUUGAAUGACUCACUAGACCAGAUGGACUUAACAGAUAUAUUCAGAACAUUUCAUCCCAAAGCAACACAUUCUUUUCAAACACACAUGGAAUGUUCUCCAGAAUACAUCACAUACUAGGUUACAAAUCAGGCCUCCAGAAGUAAAAAAGAUUGAGAUCAUACCAUGAACAUUUUCUGACCACAUGAUGAAACUUGAAGUCAACCACAAGAAAAAAAAUCUUGAAAGACCACAAUUACAUAGAGGUCAAACAACAUGCUACAAAACAAUGAACAGGUCAACCAGGAAAUUAAAGAAUAAAUUUUUUAAAUACAUGGAAACAAAUGAAAAUGAAAGUGAGAUGGCCCAAGACCUCUGGGAUAUAGCAAAAGCAGUCAUAAGAGGUAAGUAUAUAGCAAUACAGACCUAUCUCAAGAAGAAAAAUCCAGGGAUCCCUGGGUGGCGCAGCGGUUUGGCGCCUGCCUUUGGCCCAGGGCGCGAUCCUGGAGACCCGGGAUAGAGUCCCACGUCGGGCUCCCAGUGCAUGGAGCCUGCUUCUCCCUCUGCCUAUGUCUCUGCAUCUCUCUCUCUCUCUCUCUCUCACUCUCUCUCUCUCUCUGUGACUAUCGUAAAUAAAUAAAAAUUAAAAAAAAAAAGAAGAAAAAUCAAAAAAAAAAAAAAAAA